GUUUUGUAGAAAAGGAGAGAAGGCUAGCACUUGCCUUGACAAGGAAGGAAGAGGCCCUUGGGCCUAACAAUAUGCAUAUGGUUAAGGCAUUGCCACCUACUUCGUGCAUCUAACCUCUCUUUUUA